UGCGUAGGUGGACCUGUAAGUCAGUGGUGAAAGCCCGAAGCUCAACUUCGGAACUGCCAUUGAUACUGCUUGUCUUGAGUAUAGUUGAGGUAGGCGGAAUAUGUCAUGUAGUGGUGAAAUACUUAGAUAUGACAUAGAACACCGAUUGCGAAGGCAGCUUGCUAAGCUAUAACUGACACUGAUGCACGAAAGCGCGGGGAGCAAACA
rnacentral:rRNA from 1 species